AGUAAAAGUCGUAACAAGGUUUCCGUAGGUGAACCUGCGGAAGGAUCAUUACCUAGAGUUGCGGGCUUUGCCUGCCAUCUCUUACCCAUGUCUUUUGAGUACCUUCGUUUCCUCGGCGGGUUCGCCCGCCGAUUGGACAAAACUUAAACCCUUUGUAAUUGAAAUCAGCGUCUGAAAAAAACAUAAUAGUUACAACUUUCAACAACGGAUCUCUUGGUUCUGGCAUCGAUGAAGAACGCAGCGAAAUGCGAUAAGUAGUGUGAAUUGCAGAAUUCAGUGAAUCAUCGAAUCUUUGAACGCACAUUGCGCCCCUUGGUAUUCCAUGGGGCAUGCCUGUUCGAGCGUCAUUUGUACCUUCAAGCUUUGCUUGGUGUUGGGUGUUUGUCUCGCCUCUGCGCGCAGACUCGCCUCAAAACGAUUGGCAGCCGGCGUAUUGAUUUCGGAGCGCAGUACAUCUCGCGCUUUGCACUCACAACGACGACGUCCAAAAAGUACAUUUUUUACACUCUUGACCUCGGAUCAGGUAGGGAUACCCGCUGAACUUAAGCAUAUCAAUAAGCGGAGGAAAAGAAACCAACAGGGAUUGCCCUAGUAACGGCGAGUGAAGCGGCAACAGCUCAAAUUUGAAAUCUGGCGUCUUCGGCGUCCGAGUUGUAAUUUGCAGAGGGCGCUUUGGCAUUGGCAGCGGUCCAAGUUCCUUGGAACAGGACGUCACAGAGGGUGAGAAUCCCGUACGUGGUCGCUAGCCUUUACCGUGUAAAGCCCCUUCGACGAGUCGAGUUGUUUGGGAAUGCAGCUCUAAAUGGGAGGUAAAUUUCUUCUAAAGCUAAAUACUGGCCAGAGACCGAUAGCGCACAAGUAGAGUGAUCGAAAGAUGAAAAGCACUUUGGAAAGAGAGUUAAAAAGCACGUGAAAUUGUUGAAAGGGAAGCGCUUGCAGCCAGACUUGCCUGUAGUUGCUCAUCCGGGUUUCUACCCGGUGCACUCUUCUAUAGGCAGGCCAGCAUCAGUUUGGGCGGUUGGAUAAAGGUCUCUGUCAUGUACCUCCUUUCGGGGAGAUCUUAUAGGGGAGACGACAUGCAACCAGCCUGGACUGAGGUCCGCGCAUCUGCUAGGAUGCUGGCGUAAUGGCUGUAAGCGGCCCGUCUUGAAACACGGACCAAGGAGUCUAACAUCUAUGCGAGUGUUUGGGUGUCAAGCCCGAACGCGUAAUGAAAGUGAACGGAGGUGGGAACCUUUCGGGGUGCACCAUCGACCGAUCCUGAUGUCUUCGGAUGGAUUUGAGUAAGAGCAUAGCUGUUGGGACCCGAAAGAUGGUGAACUAUGCUUGAAUAGGGUGAAGCCAGAGGAAACUCUGGUGGAGGCUCGCAGCGGUUCUGACGUGCAAAUCGAUCGUCAAAUUUGGGCAUAGGGGCGAAAGAC
rnacentral:misc_RNA from 1 species